rfam:Heterocephalus glaber contig225667, whole genome shotgun sequence.
GUCUAUAGCCAUACCAUCCUGAACGUGCCUGAUCUUGGCUGAUCUUGGAAGCUAAGCAGGGUCAGGCCUGGUUAGUACUUGGAUGGGAUACAUUUCAACAAAAAACGUUAAGAAGUUAUUAAAC